GGCUUAUCCACCUUGUAACGACUUCACCCUCCACCUUGUUACGACUUCACCCUGAGCCAGGAUCAAACUCUGUCGACGGAGGUCGGAUUAGCUAGUUGGUGAGGUAAUGGCUCACCAAGGCGACGAUCCGUAACUGNUCUGAGAGGAUGAUCAGUCACACUGGAACUGAGACACGGUCCAGACUCCUACGNCCCNGCAGCAGUGGGGAAUAUUGCACCCNGGGCGAAAGCCUGACCACCAUGCCGCGUGUGUGAAGAAGGUCUUCGGAUUGUAAAGCACUUUAAGUUGGGAGGAAGGGCAUUAACCUAAUACGUAGUGUUUGACGUACCGACAGAAUAAGCACCGUAACUCUGNGCCAACCGGAAUACAAGGGGCAAGCGUAAUCGAAUUACUGCNCGAAAGGCCGUA
rnacentral:rRNA from 1 species